GGGGAUGUUUUGGUUUUGACAGCAGAACAUAUUGGAAGGUAAGCAUGUCGAGCAUCGUGUUUUGGCUCGUAAAUCUCAGUACACAAGCCAUAACUGGCAACAACACUUAUGCACUCGCAGCCUAGAAUUAACCAAUGGUUAAUGGCUUAAUCCUCCCCGACAAGGUUGGGGACGACGAGUAUCCCGCCUCCGCUUUUGCCUAUUGGGCGGUCGCUUAUGGGGUAUCGCUACAACGGGCUGGUUGCGUCGACUCCGCUAACGCGCAGCAAGAAAUCAGCGGAUAAGGUUCAAAUAGCCUGCCUGUUGGCGGUUUGUUCCCAACAAUCAAACACAGGAUAAACAUGUAGAAAGCUUUUGGAUAGUCUGUUUGGACGGCGGUUCGAGUCCGCCCAUCUCCACAA
rnacentral:tmRNA from 1 species